GUGCUUGCUUCAGCAGCACACAUUCUAAAAUUGGAACCACGGAAAACUCUGAGCAAGAAUGACUUGCAAAUUUGUAAAGUAUUCCAUAUUUUU
rnacentral:snRNA from 1 species